UCAGCGUUCCGAACUGCCAUCCUAGAUCGCCAAAUACUGUGGAGGCCCAAGAGCAUACUGAGGUCAAAGUGGAAUACCAUCCUCAUUUUCAACUGGCAAAAAUCGUAUGCCGAAAGCGUCCACAGGUCGUGUGAUCAGCAGCACAACGCCACGACCACGGUCUACCACGUUUCUCUGAAUUCUCUGAAGAUUUCUCUGAAGAUUUUCGAUAAGCCUUCAAUGCCUAACCUGAGCCUACGGUUCCAUAUUUUACUUCUGCGAUAUUUAAGUAUACCUCAUUCAAUGUGAACGGCAUUUCAUGCGCAAUAAAGCUAUAGGAAUUUAGUGUUUUCAAAGUUCAUGUCGCAUAAAAAAAUUGAACUGCACAACUUUGAUUACACCGACCAACCGAUACGGCAUAUUAACUAAAUCUUAAAAAAAAAAACAA